UCAGUGCGCUUCGAAAAACAGGCGAAUGUUGGCGUCAUCACAAUCGACAAUCCGCCGAUCAAUCUCGCCGAUAACGCGCUGUUUGCGGCUUUCGAGACUGUACUCGACGAGGUUGAGGCGUCCGACAUCCGCGCGCUGCUCGUCCAGGCCGCGGGCGAUCACUUCGGCUGCGGCGUGAAUGUGCAGACCACNUGUCGACAGCAAGAGCGCCCGUCAGAUGCUGGGCCGGGGGAUUCGGAUCUGCACCCGGCUGGAAGCCCUAAACAUUCCUGUCGUCUGCGCCGUUCAGGGGCUUUGCCUCGCAGCAGCGCUCGAAAUCGCACUCCGAUGCGAUGUCAUCAUCGCUGCCGAUGAUGCGCAGUUUGCACAGGUCGAACAGCACAUUGG
rnacentral:misc_RNA from 1 species